rnacentral:lncRNA from 1 species
GUCUUUUUUCCCCCACACUACAUUGCCUUCCAGGACAAUAUAGCAGGAGAGGUGGAUAACAAGAAAAUACAAUGCAAUGUGAUGAGUGCUAUAACCAAGAUAAGUCUUACUGGAAUUAACUCUCCCUGAAGGAGCUUUGGAAGUCUCAAGAAAGAGGCAAUGGGGAGUCACUGGAAUGCUUGAACAACGUUACUUUAAGAUGAUUUUGACAAUGCGUGGAGACUAGAUCAAAGGAAAGAGAUGCUGGGCCAUACUUCCUAGACUCCCUUGCUGUUAGAUGCAGUGAUAUGACCAGAUUCUAGCCAAUAAAAACUGGAAAGACAUGAGAGAUGCUGUUGCCAGGCCUGACUGUGAAAACUUACUGCACAGUCCUCCACUCUUAUUUUCCUCUGUGCCAGCUGGAUGUCAGUGUCCAAAGUGUCCUUGGAAGCCACAUGUUGAAGACACCAAAGCUUCUGAAAGCCUGAACGGCUGCAUGGUGUGGAUUCUUCUCUCCCCAGCCCCAUCUCCCCAACACUGCUGCUGUUAGACUUAACAAAAGCUAGAAAUAAACUUCUACUGAGUUAAUACUCUGAGAUUUCAGGUUUUAUCUUUUAGCCACAGAGAUUCCAGAGUUUAUCUGCUAACUAAAAGACGAAUGCUGCAACUCAGCUGAUAAUGGACUCUAUCCCACUUGCGAUACAAAUCUGGGUUUCUAGCCAACAGCAGCUCUUAAAUUCCAUUUAUUUGGAGACUAUAAAAUUGAUUCACACACCAAACACCUGUUUAGCUUCCUACAUAGGGAAUCUAUGUCCACAAGUGACUCAUACUACAGAGUUUCAACAUGCAGUCUCUUCUCAGGCUGAGUUUUAGACUGAGGCCAGUGUUCAUGGGGACCCACCUUGGGCGUAGAAAGCCAUGGAGGCCUGAACAGCUAACCAGAUGGUUAGAAACAUCACUCUGACUAAACCUUACAUACUGUGCCCUCACACAUAUGUCUUCUCAUUCUACUGGGGAUGAGGGCCACCAAGGGCCCUCAUAGCCACAUAGGAAAGUUACCCAGCAUAAGAAAAUGACAGAACCAGGACUGAAGGCUG